CCUGACGGCUCGCUGGGGGCCCGCUAGGGGCCUGCUGGGGGCUCGCUGGCUCACGCAGUUCGAUGACAUCAGGCAGAGCGGAGACCUUCCCGGGGAAAGAAGAGACAGUGAGACAGUGGGAGGGACGUGUCCUCGGUGGAGAGAACUAUUUAAUGACCACCAGGUCUCUCUUGCUGGAGUUGCAUUUAAGAGUCAUAAAAUGUGCUCUUACAUCGAACCAACAACCCCUGCAGACGAUAUGGCAACCAGGGCCGAACACCGAGCAUGACUGGAACUGCUGGAGUGAUGAUAACCCGUUAAGUCCGG
ensembl:lncRNA